rnacentral:lncRNA from 1 species
UACUAUCUCUAAUAUAUUAUUUGAUACAGAUAUAGCACCAGGAGGAUGACCACGCAGGGUGGGCCUAUGCAGAGAUGAGAUAGCCACAUCAUCUCCUACAAUGAUAGGUUGAUUUUACAUAUUAUUAUUUUUUUAUAUUUAAUUUAUUUUAUUUUUUAUCAUAUAUAAAUAACUGAUUUUAAGCUAUACCAUCAGAAGGAUCAUC